rnacentral:sRNA from 12 species
GAGAUAUUUAUAUCUCGAAGAAGAUUAAUGAUGAUUUUGUUCGGACGCUUCUUGCAUGGUUUAGAGUUUGAAUAUUUAUCUAAAUUUCAUGGACAAAACUUUGUAACAAACAAAUAUUCAAUAUGUUAUACAUUAAUCUAUGGAGACUUAAUUGUCUC